GUCGACGUGUGCAGAAGUCCUGCUAGACUGGUCCUUGUUCCUGUUUGGGUACCAGCUUCCUUCAGCAGCGGUAGCCGGUGGGGCCAACGGUGGGGAAGGAGAAGGAGUCUACUGGCUGAAAUUUUUCAGGUCUGCUGUUCUGAAAAGGCCGGGAAGAAAAGUGAUCGGAUGAGAAGAUGAGGGAAAUAUUAUGAAGACCCCUGGAGUGGAGUAUGGAGAUAAUAAUGAUCUUUCUGGGAUCUCAUAAGGACCAAAUAAGUUAAUCACUUCAGACCAUUCUUCAAGGUUACGGCAGCUUGAUGGAUGAAGGUGAAGGUCCAGGAACUCACUUGCCAACAUUAUAAGACUGGUUGAAUCCAGCCCCUUGGCACUGAGGAGUGGCACUGUGGCAGGACAUGGAAGGACUCCCCCAAGGCACACCCCUCUCCAAGAUGAUAUGACAUUGGUUUCUCUGCUCCAGCCUGCAGCAGGCACCAACUCUCCAGGCUGUCCUGGACAUGCAUACCUGGAGGAUAACUGUCCGUCCCAUUGCAGGAACUGCCAUAUUGUUUUCUAAACUGGCUGACCAUUUUACCUUCAUUGUGUAUACUGCUGUAUACUUACCAGCAGUGUGUAAGGGUUCCAAUUUGCCCAUAUCCUUGACAACACUUUAUUUUCUGACUUUUUGACUGUAGCCACUUUAGCAGAGGUUGUUAUCUACUUUCAACUCCUCAGAAAACACCAAGGACAAGAAAAGAUCUCAAUCAACACCUCAACACCUUAGUGAAGACAACAUCAUUACAAGGACAAAUUUCACCUAUCUUUAUUAUUUUUAACUAAUUUAUUUUAAUUGAAGCAUAAUUGUUUUACAGAAUUUUGUUUUCUUUCUGUCAAACAUCAACAUGAAUCAGCCAUAGUUCACCUAUCUGUAAAACAUCACUUCAUUACAACCAACAUCCCAUGUAGCAUAAACUCUAAUCUUGGAAAAAUACACAAAAGCAUGUUUUCAUCCAAGAAAAUUUGGUGGUUUCAAGCAAAAGACUAAUCCAAGAUGGAUCAAAAAGAUAAUAGCAAAAAAUUGAGCCACUGAGAGAACCAAAAAUCUACUUUUCAAAUUUUGUAUUCAAUGGUUGCAUGUGUGCUCAGUCUCUCAGUCAUGUCUGACUCUUUGUGACCCCAUAAACUACAGCCCACCAGGAUCCUCUGUCCAUGGGAUUCUCCAGGCAAGGAUACUGGAUUGAGUUGCCAUGCCCUCCUCCAGGGAUCUUCACAACCCGGGGAUUGAACCUGCAUCUCUUACAUCUCCUGCAUUGGCAGGCGGGUUCUUUACCACAAGCAUCAUCUGAGGAGGCCAUUCAAUGGUUAUGUCAUAGCAAUUUGCCUACUUUCAGGGGAUUCUUUCUAGGUAAUUUCUAAUUUUCAUAAAAGUUUUUCUAUAUUGCUGUAAAUAUAGUCCCCUGAAUGAAGAGCAACCUAUUAGCCUCAGUAUGCAUGCUGCAUGCUAAGUCGUUUCAGUUGUGUUGGACUCCUUGUGACCCUAUGGACUGUAACCGCCAAGCUCCUCUGUCCAUGGGAUUCCUCUGUCCAUGGGAGUGGGUUGCCAUUUCCUUCUCCAGGGGAUCUUCCUGACUCAGGGAUUGUCUCAUGUUUCCUGCACUAGCUGGCGGAUUCUUUACCACUAGUGCCACCUGGGAAGCCCCAUUAACUCAAUAGUGGAUAUAUCAGUCAACAAAUAUUCAACUACCGGGGUCCAGCCCCAGCAGGAUCCAGGGGAACCCUCAGGAUGAACGGUGUCGGCGAGAGAGAGACACGUAGGACUGGCCUUGAUAGGGCUAAGUCUGCGAGGGGGAGAGAGAGAGAAAGAAAGAGACCAAACCAGGAAUAUGCAGCAGAGUCUGGCAGUUGUUUUAUUUUUCACCGUAGCCUUUAUACCCUAAGUUGGUACAUUUCUAAGGGGCAGAUAAGCAUACAGACUCAGUUUAACAUUACAUCAGCUUGUCCCUCACGAAACCAGGUGUUCUCUGUAUAUUUUUUAUUUACGAGAGUCUUUUCCCAUAGAUUUUUUGUACCUUAUCUUCUGGCCUUGAGGUUAGCAGAAAACAGAAAAGUGGCAGUCUCAUGGUACAGCAGGUUGCAACAUAAUAGAAAUACAAUCUUGUUAACAUAAAAGUCAGUCUUUUUGCAGAAAUUCUUAGCUAAAUUUAUCUAAAAAGUUUAGCACACAAAGACUCUGCAGCUCCGGUGAGGCAGCCCCUGUUUAGCACUCCCGGGUAAAAUUAACAAUUAUUUUAUUGUUUUUACACUAGGGCUAAACUCUUAUUUUAUUCUAUCUUUAACUAUAUUAACAAUAGUUUCCACUGCACAACCUCAGCACAUUAACAUCAAUCAAACGUUGAUCUAAUAACCACUUUUAAAACAACCAAGUGGGCUUUAUCCCAGGAAUGCAAGGAUUCUUUAAUAUCCGCAAAUCAAUCAAUGUAAUACACCACAUUAACAAAUUGAAAGAUAAAAACCAUACGAUUAUCUCAAUAGAUGCAGAGAAAGCCUUUGACAAAAUUCAACACUCAUUUACGAUUAAAACUCUCCAAAAAGCAGGAAUAGAAGGAACAUACCUCAACAUAAUAAAAGCUAUAUAUGACAAACCCACAGCAAGCAUCACCCUCAAUGGUGAAAAGUUGAAAGCAUUUCCCCUGACAUCAGGAACAAGACAAGGGUGCCCACUCUCACCACUACUAUUCAACAUAGUGUUGGAAGUUUUGGCCACAGCAA